rnacentral:rRNA from 1 species
GGCGGCAGGCUUAACACAUGCAAGUCGAACGCUCACUUUCGGGUGGGAGUGGCAGACGGGUGAGUAACACGUGGGAACAUACCCUUCGGUUCGGAACAACGCCGGGAAACUGGCGCUAAUACCGGAUACGGCCUCGGAGCGUGAGCUUUGGGGCGAAAGAUUCAUCGCCGAAGGAUUGGCCCGCGUUCGAUUAGCUUGUUGGUGAGGUAACGGCUCACCAAGGCGACGAUCGAUAGCUGGUCUGAGAGGAUGGCCAGCCACAUUGGGACUGAGACACGACCCAAACUCCUACGGGAGACAGCAGUGGGGAAUAUUGGACAAUGGGCGCAAGCCUGAUCCAGCCAUGCCGCGUGAGUGAUGACGACCUUAGGGUUGUAAAGCUCUUUCGCACGCGACGAUAAUGACGGUAGCGUGAGAAGAAGCCCCGGCUAACUUCGUGCCAGCAGCCGCGGUAAUACG